AACCAGCCACCAUGUUGUGAGGUCACAUAAACAUCUCCAUGGAGACACCAUGGAGAGAAACUGAGGCCUCCUGCCAAGAGCCACCACCAACCUGGCAGCCAUGGGACCGUCCCACCUGAGAAAUGGAGCCUCCGGCCACAAUCGAACCUUCAGAUGAUGCAGCCCCAGCUGACAUCGUGACUGAUGCUGUAUGAGAUUCUCAGCCAGAGCCACCCAGCGAAGCUGCCACCAAAUUCUCGACCCAGAAAAGCUGUGCUUUUGGUCUUUGAACCAGGAAGUCGUUUUGUGCUGAGAUGAAAGGGGGCUGCCCCCCCUCCCCCCCGGGAUUGAGCCCGUGAGCACAAAGCCAGAGCAUGGCUCCAGAGUGGAGGAGAGACCUUAAACAUUUUCGAGAAGGUAUCUGACGCGGAGAUAAAGGAUGCAAAUAUUCUGGAGGGUAUUAACUGCUACGCACAUGGAGUCACAUCACCCCGGACCAAUGGCCCGUGAAUAUCUUUGUGCACAGAACCUGAACAAUGUGUUUUGGCCUCAGUUUUGAUUCUGACUCAGCACCCCUGGGGAUACAUUUCAGAUUAAUAAAAAAGUAAAGAGAGUUAACAUUCACGGAGCACUUACCAGGUGGCAGGUGCCCAGCCGAGUGCUUGCAUUUGUUGUUUCAUUUAAUCCCCACCACAACCUGGUGUAUUUUGGGCUAGAAUCCCCACUUCACAGAGGAGAAAACUGGGCCUGGGGGAGCAGAAGUAAGCUGUAUUCAUCUCCUGAGGCCGCCCCAAUAAACCGCCACAUACUGGGUGGCUUAAAACAACGGACGUUUAUUCUCUCACGGUUCUGGAGACCAGAAGUUCAAAAUCAAGGUGUUGGCAGGAUUGGCUCUUUCUAGAGGCUCUGAGGGGAACUCAGGCACAUGCCUCGCUCUGGCUUCUGGUGGUCCCUGGCUCCCCGACUUGGAGACACAUGGCUCCACUCUCCACCUCCAUCCCUACCCGGCCUCCUCCGGGUAGGUGUCUCCUCCGGUGUGUCUCUGUCUUUUCUCCUCUUCUGUCUUGAGGAUGAUCUCAUCUCAGGAUCCUUACCAUAAUACCAUCU